GCUCUCGCCGUCGAGUGAUUUCUUUCAUUCUCCAAGACUGAGGCCUUCUCAGGGUGGGAUGGCCUCUCACCAGCCUCCGCUGUCGGGGAAACACGGGCUGCUGAGUUUGCGUGGAAAGAGCGGCAGCGUGGAUUCCGACCUGCAGUUCCUCGGGCUGAAUAACCACCGGCACGAGACAGACUCUGUCCGUGCCAGCCUGAGUUUCACCAGCAAGCCCCAGCGGACCUUCUGCAGCCCGCCCGAGCCUGCCCCGCCUCUCCU